GUUGGUAUCUAAGUCUAAACUCUUUUCCUCACUGUCUUCAUUGCAAGAAACACUUGGAAAAGUACCUAUCCAAGGUCAUGGAAGCAUGAAGAACCAUCCUUUAACAAUACUCAAAUAUUACGCAAGAAAUCUCGUCAUAAAAGAGAUUCCAAUAUCUUUUUAUUUUAUAAUUUACAGACUGUAUUUAGUAGUACUAGAACUAUCUUGACUUAAACCCUGGCUGCAGCAUUUACUAGCUUUGUGACCUUGGACAAGGUGUUUAACAUUUCUGAUUGAACUUGCACUGUGGCUGUGGCCUGGACUUGGCAUUCAAACACAACAAAUUGACCUCUGGUGGUAGAGAUGUCUUGAAGAUGCUGAAGAACACAGAAUGGAAAAAACUUUU